CGCCAGACUCCUACGGGAGGCAGCAGUGAGGAAUAUUGGUCAAUGGGCUUACGCCUGAACCAGCCAAGUCGCGUGAGGGAAGACUGCCCUAUGGGUUGUAAACCUCUUUUGUCAGGGAGCAAUGGCGUCCACGUGUGGGCGUAUGGAGAGUACCUGAAGAAAAAGCAUCGGCUACUCCGUGCCAGCAGCCGCGGCAAUACGGAGGAUGCGAGCGUUAUCCGGAUUUAUUGGGUUUAAAGGGUGCGUAGGCGGGACCUUAAGUCAGCGGUAAAAUUGCGGUGCUCAACGCCGUAGAGCCGUUGAAACUGGGGUUCUUGAGUGAGCGAGAAGUAUGCGGAAUGCGUGGUGUAGCGGUGAAAUGCAUAGAUAUCACGCAGAACUCCGAUUGCGAAGGCAGCAUACCGGCGCGCAACUGACGCUCAUGCACGAAAGCGUGGGUAUCGAACAGGAUUAGAUACCCCAGUA
rnacentral:rRNA from 1 species